rnacentral:rRNA from 1 species
UACGUAGGGCGCAAGCGUUUGUCCGGAAUUAUUGGGCGUAAAGAGCUCGUAGGCGGCUUGUCGCGUCGGGGUGUGAAAGCUUGGGGCUUAACCCCCAAGUCUGCAUCCGAUACGGGCAGGCUAGAGGCAGGUAGGGGGAGAACGGAAUUCCCGGUGUAGCGGUGAAAUGCGCAGAUAUCGGGAGGAACACCGGUGGCGAAGGCGGUUCUCUGGGACGGUACUGACGCUGAGACGCGAAAGCGUGGGGAGCGAACAGGG